CAGUCGCCGCGGGAAAACGUAGGUGGCAAGCGUUGUCCGGAAUUAUUGGGCGUAAAGCGCGCGCAGGCGGCCUAUCCAGUCUGUCUUAAAAGUUCGGGGCUCAACCCCGUGAUGGGAUGGAAACUAGUAGGCUAGAGUAUCGGAGAGGAAAGCGGAAUUCCUAGUGUAGCGGUGAAAUGCGUAGAUAUUAGGAAGAACACCAGUGGCGAAGGCGGCUUUCUGGACGAGAACUGACGCUGAGGCGCGAAAGCCAGGGGAGCGAACGGGAUUAGAUACCCCAGUAGUCCCUGUCUCUUAACAC
rnacentral:rRNA from 1 species